AUGUGCGGAAACCUGAAGUCAAUUUCGUCAAACUUCUGGUGGGGUGAAGCAAAUGGAGAAAAGAAGGUGCAUUGGGUAGCAUGGGAGAAGAUGUGCCUGGCAAAGAGGGAAGGGGGGCUGGGGUUCAGAGACCCAGUAGCUUUUAACCAAGCCUUGCUAGCUAAGCAGGCGUGGCGAGUGCUGCAAUGCCCGGAAUCCCUCUGCGCUAGAGUCUUGAAGGCUCGGUACUAUACAAACGGCUCUAUCAUGAACGCUACUUGCCCAUCCGGGGCGUCAUACACCUUCCGGAGUAUGAUUUACGGACGGGACCUGCUACGAGAAGGCAUGAUCUGGCGCAUAGGUGAUGGGUCAAAGAUCAACGUCCAUCACGAUAAUUGGAUCCCGAGGCGUGGCAGCAUGAAGCCGUUGGGGCAAACGUUUAUUCCAGGGGCUACCAAGGUGCAGCACCUAAUGACACCGGAUGCGCAGGGAUGGAACGAGGAGCUGGUGGAUGAUAUGUUUUCACCAGAUGAUGCAAGAGAUAUUAAGCAGAUAGCUAUUGGUGGGCCGAACAUGGAGGACUACAUGGCUUGGAACUUUACGAAGAACGGGCUGUUCACGGUAAGAUCAGCCUAUCACCUGAGGAUGGCAUUGAAUGGGGUGAAGUCCGGACGGCCGGGCCCUUCCUCCUCGGUCAAUGCACACAAGGGUUGGCUAGCGCUGUGGGAUGCUUGUGCUCCAAGCAAGGCAAAGAUUCAUAUGUGGAGACUUAUGAGAAAUGGACUAGCUAUUGGGACAGAGCUUCAUCGGCGGCAUAUUAAGCCAGGGGUGUUUUGCGUGGCAUGUGGACGGGACUCCUCCAUCGUUUUUGGACAUGUCCGCACUCAACCUUCUUCUGGAGGAUGA
rnacentral:rRNA from 1 species